CUCGCACGCGUGGCCCCAUUAUCUAUUCAUGUGUUGCCUGAUAAAGAUGUUGCUGCGACCUGAGGAGAGGGUGUGGUGUGUGUGCUACAGAAGCAGGGCAGGUGAAAAGCCAGCCAAUGAAAAACGUGCUGUUGUCGGCUCAUUCACUGCCACAAAGCACUUUUAGCAACUUUAAGAGUCUAAAUACAUCUUUAAGCACUUUUUGAAACAGUUAGUUAACACAAACUAGCCAUCCAUCAGUAAUGGUGAUAGGCUCACUCAUACUUCACAGGAAGUGACCUCAUCUUGGCGCUCUACCGUUUGUGGCAUCCUGCAGAAGUCUUGGACCAACAUGUUUGUUUUGAUAUAAAAGGAGUCUAAGAAUUUCUGUGUGAUCUCAGUCUGAACAGGUGAAACUAGUUAUUCCUGACAGGUUUGCACCUUUACCUGAGUGUGUAACAAAACACUCUCUUCAGUCAGCAUCACCUUUAGUCCCCACUGCUAGGAGCACCUGGACAGCUGGACACAGGUAGAGUUGGCCCAUGUUGUCUCCUUCCUGUCAUUAAAGGUCUCUCAGAGACAACAAUUUACACCUUUUAUGACAAUAAAGCUUCAGUUAAACAGUCACACUGCAUCUGUUAGUGCCAGAGCUCUGCCCAGACAAUAACAGUCCUUCCAAGGAACUCUUUGCCCCUCCCACUUUGCUGAUGUAAUGUGAUGACUCAGGAGUGUUCCUCAUCUUAAAGUGGAGCGCAAAAGUAUAAAAGAGGUCAUAGCGUGCAGGGUCACUCAUUCGAUCACUUCACACCGUGACAGCAAGGAGACGACAACAUGGACGGUCUGCAGGUGAGCAUUGCAUGUCUGCUGGUGAAGAUGACCUUUGUACAAGGGGUUGCAGGGAGCUGUCCCACCUGUGCACCAGGUUUCUUCCUAGUGAAGAACUGCUCCAAGACUGUAGGGAUCGGGUGCAAAGACUGUACUGAUUGCUCGGCUUUACAUCGGGACACUCUAUCUGAGUGCACGCAGUGGACUGAUGCUGUGUGCGGGAACCAAACUGUGACCACGGUGACAGUCACCACGGUGACCACUGCUGGACCUCCUGUCUUCCCUGGUGAAAUGUGGAUCAUCCUAAGUGUGAUAUCAGUGUCUGUGUUCCUGGUUCUGGUGCUCGCUCUGGUUCUCUCAAUGCUAUCCCAGCGGUACAAGCAAAAGAAAGCUUUGUACCUGCCCUGAAUGAAAGCAAGUCAUUCUGAAUGCCUCUCAGCACCAACGUCUUAGGGACAAGCCACUGUCCAUGAUGGCCAAAGCAGCAGAUCCAGCUCUCAGAAACCAGAAACGUGGAGUCCAGGUCCAGGGCAGGUUUAGAGUCCAGGUCCUGGGUGGAUUAAAGACCAGGUCCAGGCCGGGCUCAUGAGUCCAGGUCCAGGUCGAGCUCAUCAUUCCAGGUCCUGAGUGGAUCAGAGUCCAGGUCCUGGGUGGGAUUAAAGUCCAGGUCCUGUCCGGGGUCAGAGUCCACCUGUAGACUGGUUUGAUCCACCCAUUAUACUUCACAUCGAGGCCACCCUAUAAGAAUACAAAUGUAGACCAGGUGUAGACUAGGUGUAGUUCAGGUGUGAAGUAAGGUUAGAUUCCAGGUGUAAGACAGGUGUAGACUAGUUGUAGCCAGAUGUGGCGUAACUGUAGACUAGACGUAGUCCAAGUCCUAGGAAGAAUUUAAUUUCAGGUGAAGUCUGGGUCCACUUCAUUAACACGUAGCCCAGGUGUAGCUCAGAUGUAGCUCACACAUAGACCAGGUGUAGCUCAGGUGUAGAGAAAGUGCAGCUCGGAUGUAGCUCACACAUAGACCAGGUGUAGCUCAGGUGUAGAGAAAGUGUAGCUCGGGUGUAGCUCACACAUAGACCAGGUGUAGCUCAGGUGUAGAGAAAGUGCAGCUCGGAUGUAGCUCACACAUAGACCAGGUGUAGCUCAGGUGUAGAGAAAGUGUAGCUCGGGUGUAGCUCACACAUAGACCAGGUGUAGCUCAGGUGUAGAGAAAGUGUAGCUCGGGUGUAGCUCACACAUAGACCAGGUGUAGCUCAGGUGUAGAGAAAGUGCAGCUCGGGUGUAGCUCACACAUAGACCAGGUGUAGCUCAGGUGUAGAGAAAGUGCAGCUCGGGUGUAGCUCACACAUAGACCAGGUGUAGCUCAGGUGUAGAGAAAGUGCAGCUCGGGUGUAGCUCACACAUAGACCAGGUGUAGCUUGGGUCUAUAAAAUAAGUCUGUAAUUUGUCACAGCUCACCCAGAACCCCCCCACCCCCACCCCAGCAUCCUCCCGAUCAGCUGUUUCAUUUCCUAUAUGUCCCAUAAUGCAACUUUACCUCUGCAGAGGCGUCAAACUGAGAGUAACGUGUGUAAAAUCAGUGGAAUGACCUUUAACCCUUUCACUGUGAGUGUGAGAUGUCUGGAUGAGCUAUUUCAGUCAGUAGUGAUGCUUAUUUAUUGAUUCUGGAUCAAUAAAUCUGAUCACCUCUGUAAACUGAACGUGUUGUAAACCUAAAUCUCUUUUAAAUGUUGAAGUCAUUAUGUACUUGUGUGCUCCUGUUUAUUCAGAAAUCUGUGACAGUUUUAUACUUUAAACUUUCUUUGGUACUUCAGGUGUGUAUUAGAUAAUCUGCUGUAUGAACAGAGUGUGUGUUUGUAUCACAUAAUAAACUCUAAACUAAAAACAUAAUGACUCUCGCCAUGGAUUCAUCUGUUUUAUUGUAAGCUAGGAGGUUGUAAUGUCAGGCUCACAGAAGAAGAUUUACUGUUUCCAGGAUUAAUUUACUCCCACAGAUGUAAUAUUAUCUACAGCUACUCUUAGUACCAUUGAUGUUAAGUUAGACUCUUUUUCUCCAAUUGAUCUUUCUGAGUUAACUUCAAUAAUUACUUCCUCCAAACCAUCAACCUGUCUUUUAG
ensembl:lncRNA